rnacentral:rRNA from 1 species
AUUGAACGCUGGCGGCAUGCCUUACACAUGCAAGUCGAACGGCAGCACGGGAGCAAUCCUGGUGGCGAGUGGCGAACGGUGAGUAAUAUAUCGGAACGUGCCCGGUCGUGGGGAUAACGUAGCGAAAGCUACGCUAAUACCGCAUACGAUCUACGGAUGAAAGCGGGGGAUCGCAAGACCUCGCGCGAUUGGAGCGGCCGAUAUCAGAUUAGGUAGUUGGUGAGGUAAAGGCUCACCAAGCCGACGAUCUGUAGCUGGUCUGAGAGGACGACCAGCCACACUGGGACUGAGACACGGCCCAGACUCCUACGGGAGGCAGCAGUGGGGAAUUUUGGACAAUGGGCGCAAGCCUGAUCCAGCAAUGCCGCGUGCAGGAUGAAGGCCUUCGGUUGUAAC